ensembl:lncRNA LINC02542 long intergenic non-protein coding RNA 2542
ACUGGCAGCUUUUCCAUUUCCUUCUAGCAUGGAGUGCCCCAGACUUCUCCACAGAAGCCACUAAUGAGCUUCUUGCCUUUCAAGCCCCUGAUUCACUAAUAACAGAAUUUCAGCAAUGUCUGAAGUUCGGGACCUUAUCUUUUCUUCCUUUAGAAAACAAACAAGCAAAGAAAAUAUGUUACUUGCUGAAGCCACUGACUCAAUCCUGUCUGUUUAAGGUUUUAAAACAGAGAAUUUAUUCAAGAAUCUCAGCUUCUGCUUUGCAAAUGAGUUGAAAGCUUAAGGAUUUGACCCCAACUUUCAAAAUCCAGAAUUCACCCUGCUGUUUCUCCAUGAGUCUGACCUGCAUCAACUGCCUCCCUUAUUCUGGGAUUCCAGUUGUGGAGCUCAAGGACAAGUCCAUUCUGGGCUGGCUGUAUCCAACUUCUUUAGUCCAACUAUAUCCCCACUGGAAGCCAGGCUCUUUCCAACAGCUGUCACCCAUGCCUCUUUCUAUGUUUGUUAUCUGUCUCUAGGUUCUGGUAACUACUUCCUUCCCUUGCCCCUUCUGGCCUAGGGUGCUACCAAUCCCUCCUCCAAAUCCAACUGUCACUAGCCUCAAAGUACUUGUAGCUUCCUCACCUUACUUUCACCUUAAUAAAUGGUCCCCCUACUAUCUCUCUUCAAAGCACCCAAUUUGAGUGUGCCAUCUGUUUCUUGCCAGGAUCCUGGUUGGUACAUCAACCAAGCUGCACUGAUGGAGGAGCACUGUGCUGAACUUUAGGAAUGAAGCCACAGGGCCCUCACUGCCCCCAUAGUCACCUUGGUCAUCUUCUGCCUCCCUGAAAGACUAAAUUCAGUCAGUUCAGAUACAUACACAUCCAGACAUGUCAGGGAAAACUCCAUUUUGUAAGGAUCUCUGCUUAAAAUGCCAAAAGUUUGAAAGUUGGCAAACACUUGAGAAAAGCACAGUUCUCUGUCUUACUCUUACUCUAAACUUGGAGAUAAAUGCAUUUUUAAAAUUGUGCAUGUUAGAGUGCUAACGUGUACAAGAUCAUUUCUGGUGAGACACCACAAACAAUAUUUUAUGAGGCCAAAAUAAGAAAGAAGGAAAUGAAAUAGCUCAGGAAUCUCAGGAAGAGCUCAUCGAACACUUUGCCUUUAUCUCAGACCAUUUUAUCCACAGCCCUGUUAAUCAGGAUUGGAUAUACCUCCAUGAGGGAGUCUUAAACGGAGGGAAAGAGAUGCCACAACUAAAAAAAAGAAUGCAAUAGAAGUUUGUCUUAAUGCCUGUUCUGUGAUGCACAACUUUCGUAAGCCAAAAUUUUAACCUUAUGAACAAUCAGUUCUGUGCUGCCCUUAGCAGAGAACCAUAAAUUAAAGAUAAGCAAUGGUUCAGACUUUCCAGGGCCUUGACUCAGGAGUAACUCUGAAAUCCCAACCAAAUAUGUAUUUGGUUAAGCAAUUUGGCACAUUUUUCUAUUUUGAGGCAUUAAACUAUAAUUACAAGUCACUUUUAUUUCAUUCCAAAUAAAUGUCCCUAAAGUAGAUAGAACUAGAGGUUUCCUUUUUUUAAAAAAAGGAAACAGGAAAACAACAAACAAAACCAAAAAGAACAAAAGCAAAACAAAA